rnacentral:rRNA from 1 species
GACGAACGCUGGCGGCGUGCCUAACACAUGCAAGUCGAGCGAUGAAGUUUCCUUCGGGAAACGGAUUAGCGGCGGACGGGUGAGUAACACGUGGGUAACCUGCCCUAUAGAGGGGGAUAGCCUUUCGAAAGGAAGAUUAAUACCCCAUAAAAUCUUAGUAUCGCAUGAUACAUAGAUCAAAGGAGUAAUCCGCUAUAGGAUGGACCCGCGGCGCAUUAGCUAGUUGGUGAGGUAACGGCUCACCAAGGCGACGAUGCGUAGCCGACCUGAGAGGGUGAUCGGCCACAUUGGGACUGAGACACGGCCCAGACUCCUACGGGAGGCAGCAGUGGGGAAUAUUGCACAAUGGGGGAAACCCUGAUGCAGCAACGCCGCGUGAGUGAUGACGGUCUUCGGAUUGUAAAGCUCUGUCUUCAGGGACGAUAAUGACGGUACCUGAGGAGGAAGCCACGGCUAACUACGUGCCAGCCGCCGCGGUAAAAC